rnacentral:rRNA from 1 species
UACGUAGGGGGCAAGCGUUGUCCGGAAUCAUUGGGCGUAAAGCGCGUGUAGGCGGCCCGAUAAGUCCGCUGUGAAAGUCCAGGGCUCAACCCUGGGAUGCCGGUGGAUACUGCUGGACUAGAGUGCGGAAGAGGCGAGUGGAAUUCCCGGUGUAGCGGUGAAAUGCGCAGAUAUCGGGAGGAACACCAAUUGCGAAGGCAGCUCGCUGGGACGUUACUGACGCUGAGACGCGAAAGCGUGGGGAGCAAACAGG